GCCUAUUAGUGGGGGACAACAUUCCGAAAGGAAUGCUAAUACCGCAUACGCCCUACGGGGGAAAGCAGGGGAUCUUCGGACCUUGCGCUAAUAGAUGAGCCUAAGUCAGAUUAGCUAGUUGGUGGGGUAAAGGCCUACCAAGGCGACGAUCUGUAGCGGGUCUGAGAGGAUGAUCCGCCACACUGGGACUGAGACACGGCCCAGACUCCUACGGGAGGCAGCAGUGGGGAAUAUUGGACAAUGGGCGAAAGCCUGAUCCAGCCAUGCCGCGUGUGUGAAGAAGGCCUUUUGGUUGUAAAGCACUUUAAGCGAGGAGGAGGCUACUUGGAUUAAUACUCUAGGAUAGUGGACGUUACUCGCAGAAUAAGCACCGGCUAACUCUGUGCCAGCAGCCGCGGUAAUACAGAGGGUGCGAGCGUUAAUCGGAUUUACUGGGCGUAAAGCGUGCGUAGGCGGCUUCUUAAGUCGGAUGUGAAAUCCCUGAGCUUAACUUAGGAAUUGCAUUCGAUACUGGGAAGCUAGAGUAUGGGAGAGGAUGGUAGAAUUCCAGGUGUAGCGGUGAAAUGCGUAGAGAUCUGGAGGAAUACCGAUGGCGAAGGCAGCCAUCUGGCCUAAUACUGACGCUGAGGUACGAAAGCAUGGGGAGCAAACAGGAUUAGAUACCCUGGUAGUCCAUGCCGUAAACGAUGUCUACUAGCCGUUGGGGCCUUUGAGGCUUUAGUGGCGCAGCUAACGCGAUAAGUAGACCGCCUGGGGAGUA
rnacentral:rRNA from 1 species